GCGGACGUAAUUCAGUGGUAGAAUGUUAGCUUCCCAAGCUAAACAUAGUGGGUUCGAGUCCCAUCGUCCGCU
rnacentral:tRNA from 14 species